rnacentral:rRNA from 1 species
GCGAACGCUGGCGGCAGGCCCAACACAUGCCAGUCGAACGAACUCUUCGGAGUUAGUGGCGGACGGGUGAGUAACACGUGGGAACGUGCCUUUUGGUUCGGAAUAACUCAGGGAAACUUGUGCUAAUACCGAAUGUGCCCUUCGGGGGAAAGAUUUAUCGCCAUUAGAGCGGCCCGCGUCUGAUUAGCUAGUUGGUGAGGUAACGGCUCACCAAGGCGACGAUCAGUAGCUGGUCUGAGAGGAUGACCAGCCACACUGGGACUGAGACACGGCCCAGACUCCUACGGGAGGCAGCAGUGGGGAAUCUUGCGCAAUGGGCGAAAGCCUGACGCAGCCAUGCCGCGUGAAUGAUGAAGGUCUUAGGAUUGUAAAAUUCUUUCACCGGGGACGAUAAUGACGGUACCCGGAGAAGAAGCCCCGGCUAACUUCGUG